CUCCUUUGACGUUAGCGGCGGACGGGUGAGUAACACGUGGGUAACCUACCUAUAAGACUGGGAUAACUUCGGGAAACCGGAGCUAAUACCGGAUAAUAUUUGAACCGCAUGGUUCGAUAGUGAAAGGUGGUUUUGCUAUCACUUAUAGAUGGACCCGCGCCGUAUUAGCUAGUUGGUAAGGUAACGGCUUACCAAGGCGACGAUACGUAGCCGACCUGAGAGGGUGAUCGGCCACACUGGAACUGAGACACGGUCCGGACUCCUACGGGAGGCAGCAGCC
rnacentral:rRNA from 1 species